CAUGUGGUUAAAGAGAGAAUUUAAUCCUGUGUUGAUUGUGUCUGGAUUUGUGUUUAUUUACCAUAGAGUGUUUGAGUUUCACUGAUUCAUUUAAGUCUGGAUUAUAAAUCUGGAUUCUUUUUGAGGAGGUCGAGGUAGAGGAAUUAAAUUAGUAGAAUCAAUUUGACAGCUACACAUGUUUUCUGAAACAAUGUUAUGGCACGUUGUAUUUUGUGUGUGUGUGCUUUUUUCUUUCUUUUGUUUUGUUUGAUAGCCACAGAUGCCGUCCUAUCCCUGAGUCUGAGCUUGGUUUGGCCUUGCUCUUUGUGUCUCUGGACAAGUAUUGUAAUCCAAGUAUCACCGCUGUACCACCUUUAACACAGAAUCUUGUUAGCCAGUCCUUUCAAGCUGCAGAUAUAAUUUCGCAAAGGGCUUGCUCACAACAGUUGACAGUUCAGUUCAAAAAACCGCCCAUCCCUGUGAGGCAUUGUAAAGAUGACAGAACGCAAGGCACAUGUGCAGAAGGCUUGGCUAGCUCAAACAUCUACAAAUCCAUGAACGCAGCGUAUGUUGGAAAAAGGUAUACAGGAUUGAACAAUGUUCUCGCCACAUUCACUCGUAUAAUUUUGUCAAUAGAUUUGGCGAGAUAAAGUCAAAUUUGUCAUUUUCGCCAAAUUCGUCGUCUUUGCCAUAUUCGUCAACUUUCUGGGGGCCUUCUUAGUUCUAAGCAAGUCAUGUCUUUAAUCGUGUGAUUUUGUCAUUUUCCCAGAUUUCGUCAAAUCGGUCAGUUUCGUGAAAAAAAUACGUUAUUUUC